rnacentral:lncRNA from 1 species
CCCAUCAGAGUUCAUUCUUAUACUUAGACUCUUUAGAUCGUAGAACGGAAUGAAUCCAAAUGGAUGCCUUUGUGGGGCCUUAGGUGUAGGCCUUGAGGCUUUCCAUCAGAAUCCAUUCCAUGCUCAAGCGUUCUAUGGAAAUCAUAAUAUAAUAGAAAGAAAACUAGAGGAUAGGUCGAUUACUUGCGCCCCAAGUAACUCCGGACUUCUCGUUUAUCAAGGACUGUCGUGGAUGGGUUAAGUCCACAUAAAGUUCUUUUUUAUGCCUUGAGGCCAAGGACUUUUCAUUGAUCAGAUUUACAUGCCCGAGGGUUUAGGACUUGGAUCUGGUUUGAACACUUAAGAUAUAUUCAAAUCGGAUUCAAGUAUUGAGAAAGCCUUUUAAUAGUCACAAUGCUUGAAAUAACUUGUAUAUGACUGGAUGUAUACAACAUAUUGAAAAGACAAAAACAAAGCAAAGAAGGUCGGGCAAGGUUAAACCUUAUCGAGUAAGGCUGCUCCUCUUGUAGGUUCCUAUCUUUACAGUUUUGUCAAAGGUCUGAGAGCUUUGGAGGGAUAGAGAAAGAUUACAGAAGAUGAAUCGAUACUACAACAAGGUUGAACAGGGUAGCAGAGUUAUUACAAAAGUUUAAAGGGAGAGUUAUCCCGUGAGGGAUGAAGGCUUGUCCCGAGAGGGAUAAAGGCUGAUUACAUCUUUGUUUUGAAGGCAAAUCUGACUUGAGCAGAGUUUGUGUUUGCAUUUGUUUGUUUGAUUGAGUGUGUGCAUUUGUUUGUUUGAUUGAGUGUUCUUAAUCCUGGAUUUCCUUUCUUCUUAUAUAGACAACUCGACUGGGCCUUCGGUAGCAGCAGCUUUGCCCGAAUGCGGUUUGAGGGUGAUGACUCAUCAGCUAUUUUACAUGUAAUGCCACCAUAAAGUACUUUAUGGGCUGUGUAGCUGACUAGUCUACACCACUUGGCCUUUGGGUAGGUAAGCAAGUGGUCUUCAUGAGCUGCACCAAGUCAGAAAAGGCCUUCUCCUGCCUUCUGGGCUUCAACUAGGCUUCGACUAUUUUCCCUUUCGAGCCUCCUUUUGGGCCAAUUCCCUCCUUGAGCCUAAAGUUCAAGUUUUGAUCCAAACAGUGCCCCCUUCAAUUAAUAUUUAGCCUGAUCCCCUGUACUCACAGCAAGAAAUCCUUCUCUAAUUUGUCGCCCUCGUCAUCUUCCUUGGUAUUCCGUUCCCGAACUCCUUCAAUUGACUGCGGAAUCUAGCCAAACCCAAUCCCCUUACGAAUCUGGCGAAGGAAUCGCCACUCUUUGUCGUCUACUCAAUGGGCUGCAUCGCCCUCGGGCAGGUCUGCUCCAAGCUUUUCUUUGAGGUGCAUGAGGUACAAUCAUUGGGUCCCGCCUGGAUUUCUCGGGUCCCUUCAGUGGUGGAGAGCAACAUGCCUAGAGAUAACUGGUUUUCUCCAAAUCUCUAUUCGGCUAGGUCGGGCAUUUCUUCCUCCAAAUGGUCAUCAUAUCGUUGGGGUUUUCCUCUGAUGAAUGAUCUUGCCUGGGCUCAAUGGAUUGAUGAUUUAGAGCCUACUUUUAAGAGGAAAUGGAUGAAUAAUGGUAUUUAUGAGUUAAUCAUGCUUUCGAAGACCACGAUUAUUCCCAAGCCCGAGCUGCUUGCUUCUGCCCUCAUUUUCUGGAAUUCGGGCACAAAUACCUUUGAUUUCCGUAUGGGCCCCAUGUCUCCCACCAUUCUUGACAUGGCUCAAGUUUUUGGCUUAAGGCCCUCGGGCAGGAUAUUGGACGUUACUUAAGAAUGGGUUCCGUCCUCUGCCACUGGAAGCUCAAGUUCAUCCGCUACCUUCCUCUCUUUGAAUUAUAACUCGGCCACUUUCAAGCGUUACGGGACUUCCUUCAAAGGAUUCAUCCCCUUCGUAAAUGAGAAUUUUGGGGUGGGCUCACCUCGGGUAGAUAAAGAUCAGGAGCACAUGUAUUUCCUCUUAUACUGGCUCAACAAGCACAUCUUCCCCAACAAAUCCAAAGGGGUGAGGGUUGAAUGGAUCCCCUUGGUAGAAGCUCUUCACAACUUUGAUGACGUAGCUACAGGUCCAUUCCUUCUUUCCCACCUUUAUCAUCUUCUUUUUUAAAUGACUCAAGGUGAGCCAUUUGAGACCAAUUUGAAUGGACCAAUAUGGAUGAUACAAACUUGGCUUCAAUGGUAUUUCCCAGAAUUUCGGGCUACUAAUCUGGAGUUCCCUGAGGGUGUGGCCCCUGCCCGAAUCCUGGCUGAAGCUGCCCCUAUAGAUCAUUCCACUUUUGCCUGCUUCUAUUUCUUCAGAGUUUGCAGGACUCGGUCAGAUUUAGAAUGGGGUGCGCCGGUCCUAAGAAGAUAUCCUUGGUUUUCUGACCAAGCCUUUCAAGAUGCCCCUGGCGAGGAUGCUACCCCCUUUUGCAGGGAGAAAUUUAUUAGUUGCAUUCAAUCAAGAGACCUGGCCUGGAGAGUUCGGGGCAAUAGAUAUGACCGAGGCCUGGAAGUGUACCAUCCUAACUUCUGCAGCAGGCAGUUAGGAUUUAGACAUGCCAUUCCUGUCCCGUUCUUCGACUCUGUCCAUUGUGGCACUUCCUUCCGGUUACCAACUCCAUCUGAAGUGACAUUCCGAGCUGCCCGACGAAGUCUUGACGUAAUGAGUCAAGCAGCCCGAAAGUCCAUUAUCCUCAAUUUUGAGUGCACCUCGCUCUUCUCUUCCUGGUGGGAAGACAAAUGGACUAAGAAGUAUGGAGGAGAUUUGAAAGAAACUCACGAUCGCCUUUUCAACCAACUUUCACUUAAGUCAUAUCCUGGCUCGGGCGAACUUGAAAAUUGGAAGGAGAUGAUUCAAGAAAAGAAUCGGUUACUUCUGAUAGGUACUUCUCUUUCAAUUUGAUUUUGCUUCCUUUCUGAAGUCCUUCUAUCCUUACUUUUGCUGAAUUUUGCAGCUCCAGCGGAUGUUGAAUCGGAAGCUAUUGAAUCUGAGGAUGAUUCUGCUGAUGCUGCAAUUCUUCAUGGAGCUGCCGCAGAAGCUGGGAGACGAGAAGCUGGGGAGGGUGCAGAUGUCUCAGAAUCUUUUGGGGAUUCAGGAGCUGAGGAAACACCUGAAGCUCUUAUCAAAGCAACUAAGAGAAAGAAAGCGGCGGUGACUAAGACUUCAGAUCCUGAUCCAGUACCUCUACCCAAAACCACCCGACCAAUUCUUACUAGAAAAAGUAAGAGAGCAAGAACUACCGCUCCUCCUAAGUUAUCAGCCCCAUCAGUUCCUGAGGCCGGCAGAAAGAAACAACAAUCCUCAAGUGAGUUCCUGUUUUUUCUUUAAACUGUUACCUUUCACACUUAUCUGAUUGUCUCCUUCAUCGGUGAACAGGACCCCAAGCAUCUAAAAGACCAAUCCUUGCUUCUAAGGAGGAACCACUAAGAGCUGCAAUGCUCAAAAAGGCCGAAGAUCUGCGAAAUACUACCCUCAGAGAACUUGAGGUAUGAUUUAUAUAUUUCUCUUUAGGCCUCUUCUUGCUCUCAUAUAACUCUAAAUCUGAUUAUUUGACUUAGGCCGCAAGAAAGGAAAAGCUUUCUUCGCCCGAAGCCUCUCCACAAUUUGCUCGAGAGACAAGCCUACCUCAUUCUCAAGUCGACCCUGCAGAGGUGAUUUUUCUUAUCUUCUAAUUCUUGGAUAAUUUUCUAACUUCUGGACCUAAUGUCUGAAUAUUGUUAGGCUGGAACAUCCGCUUCCUUGCCUUGCCAUGGCCCUCCUCUGAGGUCCAUGACCUCUUCUACCGCUCUGGAUGCAACCCCUUCUUCUCAAUUUGAUCCAUCCACAGGAGUUAUGCUGCACUUCGUGGAUGAAGAUAGUAACUUGGUGAGUCGCAUAUUCCAUGUUGAACUUCUGCGCAUUGCUUCCCAACUAACUUUUACUUAUGUUCUCCACAGCCUUCUCCAGUAUAUGAGCCACCCCCUUCAAUAGUGGUUCCAGAUGAUGAACCCAUAGUCCCUGAGAUCCCUGUAGCUUCAGAGGUAGCAAUCUUGCGGGUAUUUGCUUGCCCGACAGUUGAUAAACCUCUUUCUCCUCCUCUGGACCAAACUCAGGUAUGAGAGUAUUCUCUCCUUGUUCUUUCUCUUAGGCUCUAUUUACUGACAAUCACUGCUAUCUCUGGGUACCUCUAGGGCACUGGUACAGGUUCAGGUGCAGCUCAUCACUCUCCUACUGGUGGUGCUGGUGAUGCUGGUGGUGAUGACCCUUUCCGCCAAUCAAGAAUCAGUCAUUUUCCUGGUGAAACCCCAGGGCUGAGCCAGGUAUAUUUCAUCUCUCCAAAUCUUCUUUUGCCUCAAACUAUAUUCAAAUUGUCUUGACCUGGUCUUUUGGCUUUCUAUAGCAAGCUUCAAGAGAAACUUCUCCCCCCCAUCUGGUCCGCAAAUCAAAGCGCUCCCAUCCUCACUCUUCUGGAGGUACUGCGAUUCCUCCUUCUGGUAUUGAGCAGGUCGGGCAGGCAGAAAUUGCCCUCUCAAUGGACAUUCCUUCAUUAGAGGAAGCUACAGUGCAGGAUUCUCCUUCUUUCACACCUCCACGCCCUGCUAAGUUGCCCAGACUGUUCGAAGCACUUGGACGGCUUGAGACGCGGUUGAAAUCCUCAAGACAAUCUUCAGCUACCCCAAUUUCUUCAGAGCAACAGCGAGUCCUUCAGGAAUGGGCAAGGAAGGACUUCACCGCUUCAUUAAGCCUUAGGGCUCUUUGUGAUUUGGAGAAGAUCAUAACUGAGUCCUUCAGAACUGGUCGGCUAUCAAAGCCUCAACAUGAUUCUUUUCUAUCCUUCUUUGAGAACUUGAGAGCCCUUAGGGAACAAUACCAAAGAGCGGACAGACAGGCUAAUCGGGCAAAAUGCUUCAUGGAGAAAGAAUCAAACACCUCUGCUCAAAUUGAUCAGAGGAUGGCAGAAAGCUUACAGGCAAAAGAAAGGGUCAGAGUUGUCACUUCUAAAAUCCAAGAGCUGGAGGAACAAUUGGUUGCUCUUAAAGCAGAACAAGCAACUCUUCUAGAUACCCUUGAAAAUCAAAUUGAGGGAGUGGAGAGUCAAAUUCGGAGUUAGAGCAUGCCCGCUCUCAACUUGUGAAUAUCCAUACUGUUUUGGCCGAACCCUGUAGGAUAUUUACCAUCAUGCAAACAUAUCAUUCCCGAAUAAUCACCCUAUGUGAAGAUGUAAAUUUUUUAGAAUAGGAUGAUUUGUAACUCUUCUUUUAUUGGAAUGAACAUGUAAUUUGCUUCCUGCUCUGCUCUUUGGUACUGCUGGUAUUGACUUUGGGCAAUUCUUUGCCCCCCUUUAAUCCCCUUUCUUAUUUUGCCCUGGCUAACACCAAUCUCAGGACCUGAUCUUGGUCCCUUGAUCCCCUUCAUGACACUUUAUUCAUGCAAAGGUGCUGGGACAACCUGGGCCAUUCUCUUUCCCUGCAAUACCAAAUGGUGACCCCGCCUCUUGUAAAAUGAGGUUAAUCAUAUUGAUAGGAGCCUCAGGGAAAGGGUUAGUAUCCACCAUCAUACUGGCUUGGGGCGAAUCAAGCAACAUCUUUCCCUUCACUAUAAGAUCUUGUAUCCAGUCCCUAAACUGGACACAAUUAACUAUGGAAUGGUUGAAGGUGUAGUGCACCUUGCAAUACUUUUUCCCCCUGAGUUCUUCCGGCUUAGGCAUUUUCUUAGUAUUGUCGGGCAAGAUUACCCUCGCCCGUACCAAUUCUUCAUAGAUCUCAGGUGUCUUGGAUAGGUCGAACGAAUAACUCUGGUACUUGGGGACAAAACCACCAUCGUUCAUUACAACCUUCUAAUCCUUGACAGGCUGGACUAGCCCCUUUACCGUUAAUAGUUUGAAAGGUGUGGUCAUCUCAGCGGCACACACGUCUACAUCCUCUUCGUCACGGCCACCCUCAUGCUCUGGCCUGGCUUCUCCCACUUCCACCCGAUGAAUUGCAGCUUUAUUUUUGUAGAAAGGGGGAGUUUUGGAAGUAUGCUUUACUUGUUGCUCUUCUUGUAACAGCCUCUCAUACUUCGUGGCAGCAAUCACCAAUUCUUGCAGUUCAUUAAACUGUGCAUCAUAAAAUCUUUUCCUUAAUGGUAAUUUCAAAGCCCUUUGAACAAUCGAUAUGAGCUGGGCUUGGUUGACGGGGAAUUGGCAUCUCAUCCUUGUUCUCCUGAACCUCAUCAUGAAGUCUUCAGUAGAUUCAUGAUCAUAUUGUUUGACUUCAACAAGGUCAUUGAUAGUCAAUUCUGGCUCUAUUCUGUAAAAUUGUUCAUGGAAAGCCAUAUCCAUUUGUCCCCAGUUGGCGAUAGAGUUAGGGGGCAACAAAGAGUACCACUGAGAUGCUAAUCCUGCCAAUGAAUUCCCAAACAACCUCAACUUGUAGUUUGGGUUGUCCUCAUAUGCUACGUAAUGAUUGGAAAAUUUGAAAAUGUGGUCUCUGGAGGACACGCUGCUAUAUUCACCUGUGAAUAUUGAAAACGCGGGCAUCUUGAAGUUGAGAGGGAAUGGAUUUAACUCGUCAACAUAUUCAGGAUAAGGCUUUUGAUAAGUAAUCAUGAAUACUGGACGAGCUCGUGGUUGAGCAUUUUGAGCCACCGUCAUUCUCAACUCAGCUAGUUCCUCCCUCAGCUGCUGAGUAGCUAGAGUAUCAUUAUGACCAAAGAGAGCAGGUUCGAUCUUUGGACUCCGGUCAUUGCCCGCACUUGCUUCCCUCCUUGGUUCGGGCUUCCUCCAACUAGCUCAUCCACCCUUAUUCACCAACGGGGGUGGCCGAUAAGGUGGGGGUUUAUCUGCAGUACUGGAGCCUUCCUUUCCGCUAGUUUCGCCCAUCAUAGCUGGCAUCCCGUACCUCGUUCUGUCUUGCUCGCUUGGCUUCCUAUUAUUGAAUGAUAAUACUAGGAAGCUGGGAAGCUCUCUCUCCAGAACUGGCUCUAUCACUGGUUGACUCCCUUCAGGAGCUACCUUUUUCUUUCCCCUAUCUUUUUCUUCUUCUAACAGUGGGAAUAAAGAAAAGAUUGGUUCAUUUCUCAUAACUACUUGGCUCAUCCCGCUCCCCUGAACCCCUUUUGGAGUAGAGAAUUCCAAAUCCAGUCUUCUCUGGAGAUUCCCUGUUAGUGUACAGAGUCUGCUUACUUCUCCCUUGGUUUCCAAGGAGAUUCUUUCCAUGCUCUUCAGCACUUGGAUCAUCGUAGCCUGUAGCUCUUCAUUAGUUCCCUUUCCUUCUGAUCUCUCAGAUGCAGUUGGGCUCUCUAGGACCACUUGUCCUGAUGGGGAGGAAGGGUUUUCUGAUUGAUCUGCCAUUUGUGAAGACUUUCUUUCGGAUUGUUUUUGCCAAGUUUUCUGUCUUUUCUUUUUGGACAUACAAGAUCAAGAAGCUUGGAGUCCCACUGGGCGUGCCAAAACUAUGUUCGUGGCAGGAAUUUCCGUCGGGGAUGUUUCCUGGCCGACGAGCACACAGCUCCCCUGGAGGUUGGCGCCGGUUGAGGGCUGCUGUCGGGCUUCUGCUUCGUUGUCGGGCGUUGUCGGGCAAGUCUCGUCGGGCAAGACUCUUCGGGCAAGACUUUUCGGGCAAGGUUGAAAGAGAAGGACAACGUUAACUUUGAGAGGUGCCUUUGUGGGGCUUUAGGUGUAGGCCUUGAGGCUCACAAUCAAGGUUAACAUUUAGGUGCUCAGGCGUGCCACUGCCAUCUUUAGCAUGGCAGAUGUAAAAUGGUCGUCGUGCUUUAGUUGUAUAUAUGUAUGUAUCCAAGAAACCGUGUUAGUUAUAACAGGUGCCUUUGUGGGGCCUUAGGUGUAGGCCUUGAGGCUUCCCAUAAAUAACUAAACCAGUGCUCGAACACAUCAUAUUUUAUUCUUGCGAUUAUAGGAGUUUUCUAACUAUUAUAGUUCUGAUUACCCGAAUCCAAGAAGUAGAAUGAACCCAAAUAGGUGCCUUUGUGGGGCCUUAGGUGUAGGCCUUGAGGCUUCCCAUCAGAGUUCAUUCUUAUACUUAGACUCUUUAGAUCGUAGAACGGAAUGAAUCCAAAUGGAUGCCUUUGUGGGGCCUUAGGUGUAGGCCUUGAGGCUUUCCAUCAGAAUCCAUUCCAUGCUCAAGCGUUCUAUGGAAAUCAUAAUAUAAUAGAAAUAAAACUAGAUGAUAGGUCGAUUACUUGCGCCCCAAGUAACUCCGGACUUCUCGUUUAU